GACAGAGGGUGCAAACGUUGUUCGGAUUUACUGGGCGUAAAGCGCGUGUAGGCGGCCUUGCAAGUUGGAUGUGAAAGCCCACGGCUCAACCGUGGAAGCGCAUCCAAAACUGCAUCGCUCGAGUCUCGGAGAGGAAGGUGGAAUGCUUGGUGUAGAGGUGAAAUUCGUAGAUAUCAAGCAGAACACCUGCGGCGAAGGCGGCCUUCUGGACGAUGACUGACGCUGAGACGCGAAAGCGUGGGGAGCGAACAGG
rnacentral:rRNA from 1 species